CCAAGUAAAAUUCACCUCGGAAAGCUUUUAUUCCAACUGGAAAAUUGCCCUGCAAAUGUACUCAACACAAUACCCACUACUUCACUUGAAAGUGACAGUUGCAGCUGUUAACGCAGCUACAUUAUCUCAUCUGAGGAGACAAAUUUCAGGCUAUAUUUCACUCCAGCCUGGUAAUGCAUAUAUGCCCUAAAGACUGCUCCAGCUAGAUCUGUCUUGCUGUAUAGAUUUCAGAUACGGAUGUAUACUUCCCAGGUUGUUUUUUCCCUCCCUUCCCCCUUGUAAGUCAGGGAGUGUGGGAGGUUAAAAAUAAAAGUCAGUUUUUCCGUCGUCAUCCUCAUGUUGGUAUAAGGGAGAGGAGCCACCGGCAUCGUGCUCUGGGUGAUGCUACCCAGGGAUGGAGGUGCUCGGGAGCGAUUCUCAGGGGUACCAUGGGCAUAGGGGCCGGGGAAAACACGGCAGAGAUUUGCUAAUUCCCCCUUUUCCAUGUUCCUGCUCCUACAUGGCUUGUGCAUCAUCCUCGGUGGGAUUCCCAAAGCUGUUCCUCCGUCUUAACCCCACAUUCUCUUCACAAAGCUGAACUGAGGGUUAUAAUUAGGAAUUCCAGGACUGUCAGGAAAGAAAAUAUUUAAGUAGGGAGGAAAAAAAAAAAAAAUCAUCUAUUAGGAUUUUAAAUAGUCUCAUGAGUCCCUCCAUUAUUUGAGACACUUAAAAUCGCUUGACAAAGCCCUGGAGAAUAUACAGAAAGCCAGAUACGGACCUUUGAUGGAUGUUUUAAACUAUCUAAUGCGUCUUUUCCAACUCUAUCCACUAAAAAAUGACUAAUUGGUUGCUGUUCUUCAUUAGUACGAUUAUAACAGUGUCCUGAGAGCGCCCGGCGCUCCCGCACGUGAGAUGCUGUCUGCUCAUCUGCAGCCGAGCAGGGUUGUUGCAGUUUUGCCAUUAAUUUUGCAGGCAAACAUCUGUGCCCUCGGGGUUUCUACAGGCAGUGACUCCAGCACGUGUCUUCCAGCUGGUUCCGGAACGCCGAAAACCACUGUCACAUGGAGAUGGAGAUGAGGAAUUAUUGAGGAGCUGCAAAGCCUGUGGAGGAGCCCGCGGCAGACCCAUGGAAGGGAUGGACCAAAGCUGGUUUUUGACAAAAGAAAGCAGAUCGCUUAGUUCAUGAGACACAGACCAUGCCCAUGGCCCGCUGCUGCAAUCUUAGUGGACAUUCCGACUGAUCACAUUCUCUCUUUUAGAUCCUCCACUCAGAAGUGGACACCAUCUCCUCUUCCCGCUGGAGCACAACGGACGGAGCCUUUGGACCAAGCCUAGAGCUGGGGAUAUCAAGUACGGAAGUGAAAUGAGGGACAACAUGUCUUGAUGUGAUUGAUGAUGGUUGGAGGUCACCCCAAACCGCUGAAUUAUUUCAGAAAUGGUGCUGCUCUGCAGUCCAUGUGGGGCAGUCAGCCCAGGAACAUCAAUGAGAGACAUGUCACCUCCUGGAGCCCUCACUGGUGCACAUGCAGUGGGUGACCCGAAGCGUCUGUGCUGUGAAACCGUGUGAACGGCCCUUGCAGAGGAAACAAGGGAGAAAAGCACAACGGGAGCAGCCGGGAGCAAAAGGCAGGUGUGCUGUGAAGGGCCUGUGGUGUGUCACCUACAGUCCCAGCGGACAUGCCAGAGGCUACGCUCCCCAGAUCCGGGAGUCACGUGAAUACACCAAACUCAACACCAUCUGGUCGAGAAGACCUGCUGGAAUACUCAAAAUCUCUACUGGUUUCAAACCUUGGAGGCAAGCUCACGUUAGGGUCUUCAGAGAGAAAUUCUUGACCACGAUCCACCCAUCUCCAGGCUGACCUUCAGAAGAAGUUGGGUGAAUUGUACUCCAUGAAGUCUCCCUGGACCCCCUGGAUGAGCUCUUGGUAGGAAAGACCGGCACAGAAGGAUCUGCCAAACAGAAGAAAACAGUGGAGGACCACCACCAGGUGGAAGAGUCCAGGACCUGAAAGCAGAGAUUGCUCCUCAGUCUUAUCUGAGGUGUGGACACCCCUGGCUUGGACGUUCAUCACAUGCUUCGAGAGCAGCUAUGGGAUCCAGCCUGGUCUUCAGGAAAGCGGCGAUGGGCAGAGAGCAGAAAAUAAAUGGUCUCUGAACCUCUUGAACUGAGCGAUGAGAGAGGCAAGGCACGCACGCCUGCUUUAUGAAUGCUCUUGUGGCGUAAAACGUAUUGGUGAGUGGUAUUACUAGUGUUGCUUGGAGCUAGGAGGAAAAAAAAUCAUUCUGAAGUGUAUGUUCAGAGAGGCUUUUUUUUUCUAAUGCAGGGAAAAUAGAAACAAAAUGGGGAAAAAAAUGAAAAAACCCACAUCCUCUGUCUGCAUCGGCAGCUGCUUCUGUCUCCAGGCUCUAUGGCGAUGAUACCUCAACCCACCCAUUCAGCAGUCCAUUAUCACUUCCCUCCUUCCAUUAUUCCCCUUCAGCCUUAUCAGACAUAAGCAUCGUCUCAGACGCUCCAACUGGAGCCUUGUAAUUGUCCCUGGUUAGAACUCGAUAGCACCUUGAACCGCCAGAGUAAUCUCUGCUUUCUUAAAAAGGUCUCCGCAAGGAGACGAUGCUCGAAUUUGCCUGUGGCUACGUGGGAUCUUUAAUAGCUAACUCUUUUCUCUCUCGAGCGCACACAUAUGCUCACAGAUAAAUGGGAAAAUUCUUCUUUUUAAAAUUAUUUAUUUAUCAUCAACCUUUUCAGACUGCCUGUUAGGCAGUGAUGGCAAUAUUUAUUACAGGCUUUGCAAUGUUAUUAUUAUUAUUAGCUCCUGAGGGCACACGGUGGAAGGGACGGAUGGAGAAAGCAUAAGGAUAUUAGACAGAAGUCGUCCCUGUGGGAGGGAAAUGGAAAUGGCAUUUUCUUGGGCAUCUUGGUGUGAGGAAGUAAACCGGCCUCCUAAAGUCUGGCUCUUGCAUUUAGGUUUAGUCCAGGGCACUGUACCGAGUGUAUCUUAAUUCGGAAAGGAGCCUUUUAUGUAUUUUUUGCCAGGGAAGGGAUGAGAGUAGAAGAUGUGAAGUUGUGAGGAGGAUCUUGGCGUUGCUUUGCAAUCCAACUCCCACCAGUAAGAUAAACCCAGCCCAUUGCCCAGCCAGCACAAAAAAUGGCAAAAGGAAUGAAUAUCCUCCCCCGGCCUAAACCUUUGGUGAAAACCAACCUCAGGAGAGUGCAGGAGGGGUGGUAGUGGGGGGUUAUUCCUUAAAUUGAUUGUUUCUUUCUAAAAAAAACAAGACCAGGCUUUCUGGUGAUGAGUGCCUCCUCCACUGACCUGCUCUGAAUUCUCCUGUUCCUGGCCCCAAAAGGGCAAUGAAGAUGAUUAAGGGAGUGGAGCAUCUCCCGUGUGAGGAAAGGCUGAGGGAGCUGGGGCUCUGGAGCUGGA